rnacentral:misc_RNA from 1 species
GAUGAAGACGUAGCAAAAUGCGAUAAGUAAUGUGAAUUGCAGAAUUCAGUGAAUCAUCGAAUCUUUGAACGCACAUUGCGCCCGCUGGUAUUCCGGCGGGCAUGCCUGUUCGAGCGUCAUUUCAACCCUCAAGCCCCCGGGUUUGGUGUUGGGGAUCGGCUCUGCCCUUCUGGGCGGUGCCGCCCCCGAAAUACAUUGGCGGUCUCGCUGCAGCCUCCAUUGCGUAGUAGCUAACACCUCGCAACUGGAACGCGGCGCGGCCAUGCCGUAAAACCCCAACUUCUGAAUGUUGACCUCGGAUCAGGUAGGAAUACCCGCUGAACUUAAGCAUAUCAAUAAGCGGAGGA